UUUAUUUUACAAUGUAUAGUAACUUCCUCUCUAUUUUACAGCAUGCAUAAGCCGUUUGGCGGUACAUAUACAAAACCUGAUGCAAGAGUAAAGUUGAUUCCGGCAGAAGACAUCACUUAUGUACGACAUGGAAAGCCUUUUGGUAGAACAGUUGGCUCAGCAAAGCUGCAGAAAAGACACUCCAGACGAAGUGUCACUCCUCCUCCGAGUUCGCGUAAAGUUUCUCUUGCGAGGUCAACACCACUUACUCAGAAGUCUACGCCACUGUUUACCUCCAAGGCCAUGCCACCGCUUAAUCACAAGGCUUCAGCGCCUUUUACUCAUAAGGCCACAGCAUCUCUUAAUCACACGGCCAUGGCACCUCUUACUCACAAGGCCGCGGCUCCUCCUACUCACAAGCCCACGACGCCGCCCCUUUCUGGUUCAUCGUGUCUUUCUCCUAAGAGAGUUGAGACAGCUCACAAGGCCACAGGACUUCUUAGUCCCAAGCAUGCUACACCACCCUUGCCUGUUGCAUCGUGUCUUUCUCCCAAGAGAGUUGAGACAGCUCACAAGGCCAUGGGGCCUCUUAGUCCCAAGCCCACUACACCACCCUUGCCUGUUGCAUCGUGUCUUUCUCCUAAGAGAGUUGAGACAGCUCACAAGGCCACGGGACCUCUUAGUCCCAAGCCCACUACACCACCCUUGCCUGUUGCAUCGUGUCUUUCUCCUAAGAGAGUUGAGACAGCUCACAAGGCCAUGGGACCUCUUAGCCCCAAGCCCACCACACCUCCCCUGCCGGUUGCAUCGUGUCUUUCUCCUAAGAGAGUUGAGACAGCUGAAAACAGGCAACCAUUUUCUCUCAAUCGGCCAUCACCACUCUACAAGGCUGUCCAGAGAGGUGCAUUUCCUCCAUCUGUUUCACGGAAAGAGUCAGAGAUGAAUCCCAUCAAUCCUAGUUCUGUGCAUGUUCCUCCUGCAUAUUCAAGGAAGGUUCCUCUUGAUAGAAAGGCAGAACCUUCUUCUAAGAGUGUCAGCACACUUGACAACAAAAAGUUAUGCUCUACAAGCAAUCAGGCUGCACUUAGAUGUCAACCUACAAAAAGAGAUGCAGAUCCUAUUGUGGAAAAAGAAAAUACUGUGAAGCUUCCAUUAAUGAGCCCAACAUCUGUGCUUAGUUCAAGUUCCACCGAGGUAUGUCCAGAUACUGGAUCAAGGUCUGCAUCCAGACUAAAUUUGUUUGAUGAAAAAUGCAAGCUGGACUCACCGCAGCCUGAAACAAACAUACCUCAAGCAAAAAGCCCAGAGUCUACAACUCCAGCCCCAUAUGCUCAACUUUCCAAUGAUUUGAGAGCUGUUUCCUCCACUAAGAUCAUUGUCAGGAAUGAGAGACAAACGAACCAGGAACCAUCAAUUACUUGUAACAUCUCUUCAGGUAUAGUUAUCAUCCUGAAAGUAAUACAUUGCAGAAUCCUGAUGCAUGAUUUAGC
rnacentral:lncRNA from 1 species